UACAGGGGGGGCAAGCGUUGUUCGGAAUUACUGGGCGUAAAGAGCUCGUAGGUGGUUUGUCGCGUUGUCCGUGAAAACUCACAGCUUAACUGUGGGCGUGCGGGCGAUACGGGCAGACUGGAGUACUGCAGGGGAGACUGGAAUUCCUGGUGUAGCGGUGGAAUGCGCAGAUAUCAGGAGGAACACCGGUGGCGAAGGCGGGUCUCUGGGCAGUAACUGACGCUGAGGAGCGAAAGCGUGGGGAGCGAACAGG
rnacentral:rRNA from 1 species